rnacentral:tRNA from 1 species
ACUUAAAUAGCUUAUAUAGAGCAUAGUAUUGAAGAUACUAAGGAAAUUUUAAUUUUUGAGUA